GGGCGAGGCAACGGUAGCCACGACAGUAUGCUCAUCUGCACUCUGCUUUUUGCGCAGUGAUGCAGAAAGAAGCGGCCGAAUUCCAGUCGGCCAUGGAUAAAUCCUCAGAGACUCCAGAGAUGCGGAUACCACAGGCCUGCUCACCAUCAAGCUAAAGACAGUUAUGAGCCUUCGCAGGAGGUGUUGUCUCUUAACGUGGAACGAGCCCUUUGGGCAGGGCACACUGAGGCGCCACCACAACUGGCCAUGUUCCUAAG